rnacentral:lncRNA from 1 species
AAAAACACAGUUCAAAGGAAAUCUAAUACUUCACACAAACAAUCAAAUAAAUGACAAAUAAAAAGCCACACAUAAAACCCACAACCAAACACAGAAAUCAAAAUAUUCUAAAUAAAUUCUAUAACGCAUACAUAAAGUCAAAAAAUAAUACCCAAACAUAACGAGCGAUGUGAGAUGGGAGAAUUCGAAUGAAACUUACCAAAAAAGUAUUUCUUCAUACACUUCACCUGCUCCCGAAUAACCUGAAAAAAUGAAGUUAUACGGUUAUAAAUUGUGGGCUUAGAAACCGACAUUAAAUGAAAAGACGAGAAAAGGAAACUAACAUUCCAUGGAAAAAUGCUACAAAAAGGAAAUCAACAACUUCUCACCCAAAAUCAAAGAAAUCACAAACAACAAACAAAACACAAAUGCAC